rnacentral:lncRNA from 15 species
AGAUUUUGUCGUUUGUCCUUUUGUGUUAUUUGAACAUCGUUUGGGUGAUGAGUUCCCAAUCUCUUUACUUCCAAUUUUUUUUUGAAAGUCUGAAAAUUGAUUAGAAAGUAAAUAAUCCACCUUGUUCAUGUUCAUGCUAAUGCCCACCAUACUACGAACUAGCCUCACUGUACUGUAGCUACUGCGCUGUGAUUGGUCGAAGGUCACUGUACCGUAGCUACUGUGCUGUGAUUGGUGAAUGAAUUCAGCCCAAAUGGGGGUGUGUCACGACACCUGUCAAUCACAAUCGAAUGGAAGCUUACGCUACUGUGCUUGGGCUGAAUAAAUUUAGCCCAUUCACUUUUUGGUGCUGUUGCUGCUUUAGGUUCUACCAAAAUUCAAAACAAUAUGUUCUAAGGUUUUUAAUAAUAGUUUUUCAUCUUUACUGUAAAAGAUAGGGGAGGCUUAGCCCUUUUGGCCUAUAUAUACCAGCCGUCCCUGCUGGUAGUGAUAUAAUGAUAUUAUAUGAAGUGGGGAGUGUGCUGCCUUUAAAGUUAAUUUAGUAAUAAAGUUAUAAAACUAGUUAAAAAUGAACAAGUUAUUGGUUAAAAACGUUUUAAAAAGUGAGUUUAAUAAGUUAUAACAUUAAAAACAUUUCAUUUAUUUGCAUUGGUUCAUAUGGUGUGCUGCCCUCUACUGGUCAGGGCUAAUUCUGCAGUUAAGCACAGACAAGCAAGACAGACAGUGCUAGAUACAUGUUGCUGCUGAAUGUAUUUCUGACAAGCUUCGGCCUUGGAGACUAUUCGUCUUGACCACCUCCAGCUGUUCCUGUCACCAUACAGCCCUGUCCAGAGAUGACCACUGUAGUAUUUUUGUGACGCAGCCAUCAGCUGCUUAUACUCUUCCUCGUUUUCAACUGAGGCCAGGUCGGUGUACUUCUCCCUGCAGUAAUUCUGAGCUUCAGUCCAGGUCUUUGCCUUUUCAACAAGGAUGUAGAUACGGGGAAAACAGGCAGGUAGGANNNNNNNNNNNNNNNNNNNNAUUAAGAGAACU